rnacentral:rRNA from 1 species
AUGAGUGUGUUCACGUUACUGACCUCUGUUUGUGAUGAUCUAACACGAAUGAAGAGACAGUACUGGUGGGGAGUGGAGAAUGGAAAGAAAAAGAUGGCUUGGCUAAGUUGGGAGAAAAUGAAACUACCCAAAGCAAUGGGAGGCAUGGGUUUCGGGGAUGUGGCUUUUAAUCAGGCGUUGUUAGCAAAACAGGCCUGGCGGUUGUUGGGCAGCCCUGAUAGUCUAUGUGCUCGUUUACUACGCGCAAAAUAUUUCCCUAAUGGGAAUUUGUUGGAUACAGUAUUUCCUAGCAGCUCUUUGGCGGUAUGGAAAGGUAUUGUUCAUGGACUUGAACUGUUGAAGAAGGGCAUUAUUUGGCGGGUUGGUGAUGAUCUACAGUCACGAACCUGCUAGCGGGACCCUUGGAUUCCGCGGGGUUAUGAUCUAAGACCAGUCACGCCAAAAAGGAAUUGUCUGUACAAUUAGGUAGCGGACUUUCUGGAUGAACAUGGAGCAUGGGGUGAGCAGAGAUUAAGAGAACACUUCUGGGACAGGGAUGAUAAUGAAAUUCUGAAAAUUAGGACUUCGCCAAGGAAUAGACAAGAUUUUCUUGCAUGGUUCUGGGAGAAGUCCGGAUGUUUCUUGGUCCAAAGUGCAUAUCGGCUAGCUACAGCUGAACAUAAUAGUCUGGUGGCGGGUGGGCCAUCAAGUACUAUUCCUAGUGAUGGAAGUACUAUUCCUAGUGAUGGACGACCCAUCUGGCAAUCUAUUGGGGUUCCAAGGUACCUUUGA